UACUUCCUCAUCUUCGUAAGACUACCCGCUGAACUUAAGCAUAUCAAUAAGCGGAGGAAAAGAAACCAACAGGGAUUGCCUCAGUAACGGCGAGUGAAGCGGCAAAAGCUCAAAUUUGAAAUCCUUCGGGAAUUGUAUUUUGAAGGUGGGUUUGGUUAGGAAAAGUUACUUUAAGUCCAUUGGAAAAUGGCGCCAUGGAGGGUGAUAGCCCCGUAAAAGUACCCCUUUUCCUUUUAUCCAUUCCCUCCAAAGAGUCGAGUUGUUUGGGAAUGCAGCUCUAAGUGGGUGGUAAAUUCCAUCUAAAGCUAAAUAUUGGCGAGAGACCGAUAGCGAACAAGUACAGUGAUGGAAAGAUGAAAAGCACUUUGAAAAGAGAGUGAAAAAGUACGUGAAAUUGUUGAAAGGGAAGGGCUUGCAAGCAGACACAACCUCGGUUGGGCCAGCAUCGGAGUGGGGGGAGACAAAAAAGAAAAGGAAUGUAACUCAUUCGAGUAUUAUAGCCUUUUUCUCAUAUCUCCACCCCCUUCCGAGGCCUGCGAUCUCAAG
rnacentral:rRNA from 1 species